GGCUCAGGAUGAACGCUGGCGGCGUGCUUAACACAUGCAAGUCGAACGAAGCGCUUUACCGGAUUUCUUCGGGAUGAAAGUUUUGUGACUGAGUGGCGGACGGGUGAGUAACGCGUGGGUAACCUGCCUCAUACAGGGGGAUAACAGUUAGAAAUGACUGCUAAUACCGCAUAAGACCACAGGACCGCAUGGUCCAGUGGUAAAAACUCCGGUGGUAUGAGAUGGACCCGCGUCUGAUUAGGUAGUUGGUGGGGUAACGGCUCACCAAGCCGACGAUCAGUAGCCGACCUGAGAGGGUGACCGGCCACAUUGGGACUGAGACACGGCCCAAACUCCUACGGGAGGCAGCAGUGGGGAAUAUUGCACAAUGGGGGAAACCCUGAUGCAGCGACGCCGCGUGAGCGAUGAAGUAUUUCGGUAUGUAAAGCUCUAUCAGCAGGGAAGAAUUAGGACGGUACCUGACUAAGAAGCACCGGCUAAAUACGUGCCAGCAGCCGCGGUAAUACGUAUGGUGCAAGCGUUAUCCGGAUUUACUGGGUGUAAAGGGAGCGUAGACGGAGAGGCAAGUCUGAUGUGAAAACCCGGGGCUCAACCCCGGGACUGCAUUGGAAACUGCUUUUCUAGAGUGUCGGAGAGGUAAGUGGAAUUCCUAGUGUAGCGGUGAAAUGCGUAGAUAUUAGGAGGAACACCAGUGGCGAAGGCGGCUUACUGGACGAUGACUGACGUUGAGGCUCGAAAGCGUGGGGAGCAAACAGGAUUA
rnacentral:rRNA from 1 species